UGAGGAAUAUUGCGCAAUGGACGAAAGUCUGACGCAGCCAUGCCGCGUGAAGGAUUGAAGGUCCUAUGGAUUGUAAACUUCUUUUGUACGGGAAUAAACCUCCGAACGUGUUCGGAGCUGAAGGUACCGUAAGAAUAAGCACCGGCUAACUCCGUGCCAGCAGCCGCGGUAAUACGGAGGGUGCAAGCGUUAUCCGGAUUUAUUGGGUUUAAAGGGUCCGUAGGCGGGCUAUUAAGUCAGUGGUGAAAGCCCUCUGCUCAACAGAGGAACUGCCAUUGAUACUGAUAGUCUUGAGUACGAGUGAAGCUGGCGGAAUGUGCAGUGUAGCGGUGAAAUGCUUAGAUAUUGCACAGAACACCAAUUGCGAAGGCAGCUGGCUAACUCGAAACUGACGCUGAGG
rnacentral:rRNA from 1 species